CAUGGUUGUCGUCAGCUCGUGUCGUGAGAUGUUGGGUUAAGUCCCGCAACGAGCGCAACCCUACGUUUAGUUGCUAACGCGUGAAGGCGAGCACUCUAGACGAACUGCCGUUGACAAAACGGAGGAAGUGGGGAUGACGUCAAAUCAUCAUGCCCCUUAUGUUCUGGGCUACACACGUGCUACAAUGGCCGGUACAGACGGACGCAAAGCCGCGAGGUGGAGACAAAUCCUAAAAAGCCGGUCUCAGUUCGGAUUGCAGGCUGCAAUUCGCCUGCAUGAAGUCGGAAUCGCUAGUAAUCGCAGGUCAGCGUACUGCGGUGAAUACGUUCCCGGGCCUU
rnacentral:rRNA from 1 species